rnacentral:misc_RNA from 1 species
GACAGUAGACUUUACCUAGUU